UACGUGAGGGGCGAACGUUGUUCGGUGUCACUGGGCUUAAAGGGUGCGUAGGUGGUUGUGUAAGUAACGUGUGAAAUCCCUCGGCUUACCCGGGGAAUUGCAUGUUAUACUGCAUGACUUGAGGGCUAAAGGGGAAAAGGGAACUCCAGGUGUAGCGGUGAAAUGCGCAGAUAUGUGGAGGAACACCAGUGGCGAAGGCGGCUUUCUGGUCUGUAACUGACGCUGAGGCGCGAAAGCGUGGGGAGCAAACAGG
rnacentral:rRNA from 1 species